rnacentral:lncRNA from 1 species
GGGGACCAUUGCACCAUGCCACCGUCUUAGGGCACACAGGGCAGGUAUGUUUAUUCCUAAAACGAGGUGCCAAUCAACAUGCCACUGAUGAAGAAGGGAAAGACCCUUUGAGCAUAGCUGUGGAAGCAGCCAAUGCUGAUAUAGUCACCUUGUUACGUUUAGCAAGAAUGAAUGAAGAGAUGCGGGAAUCAGAAGGACUUUAUGGACAGCCAGGUCAAUAUUCUACUAAUAACCAUACUGAAAUGCAGUAUAAGAAAUGCAUUCAGGAAUUUAUCAGUUUACAACUGGAAGAUUCAUAGUUCUUUAGCAAACUAAUGUGAUACUAUAGAGUUUUUAUAACCCACUUGUAAAUUGUGAGUUGUUAGCUUUGUACUGUACUUAACUGAAUCCUUGGGUGGCUAAUCCCGGGCCUUUAAACAUUCGUAACUCUUCCUAUGACAGUACACAUUGACUUGCUCUAUUUCACUCUGGCUGCUGACUUCUUUAUUUGCUGUACGGAUGUCUUCCAUAUACAUUCCAGUGAAAUGAAUGGAAUGGUAAAAAUAUUCUUCAUAUACUUACAGCAGCAAAAUAGUUGUUUUCUUUUUGGAAUUCUUUUUAGCUGUCAAGUGAAUAUAACAAAAUUGUUUUCUUUUUGUUAUUCAGGGAAUUUCUAUAAAUUACGUUCAGGGAAAAAAAAAA